AAGAAAACUGUCUCCCUUGUGCAUUGCGGCACAGGAGUUGGGACCGCACAGGUCAGAGACCACAGUUCCCCGAACUCUGCCCAUUCAAAGGGCCUGUGAAUUUGUCUUUGUGGGCAACAAAGGCAGAGCAGAAACCGAGGCCACACCCAGCAAUGCUCAGGCGUUACUCCUGGGUCUGCACCCAGGAAGCACUCCUGGUGGUGCUGGUGGGGAAAGAGGGGAGGCAUACAGGAUGCCAGGGAUAGAACCCAGGUCGGUCACAUGCAAGGCGAG